rnacentral:rRNA from 1 species
UGCGGAAGGAUCCAUUAA